UUGACCUCAAAUCAGGUAGGACUACCCGCUGAACUUAAGCAUAUCAAUAAGCGGAGGAAAAGAAACUAACAAGGAUUCCCCUAGUAACUGCGAGUGAAGCGGGAAAAGCUCAAAUUUAAAAUCUGGCGGUCUUUGGCCGUCCGAGUUGUAAUCUAGAGAAGUGUUACCCGCGUCGGACCGUGUACAAGUCUCCUGGAAUGGAGCGUCAUAGAGGGUGAGAAUCCCGUCUUUGACACGGACUACCGAGGCUUUGUGGUGCGCUCUCAAAGAGUCGAGUUGUUUGGGAAUGCAGCUCAAAAUGGGUGGUAAAUUCCAUCUAAAGCUAAAUAUUGGCGAGAGACCGAUAGCGAACAAGUACCGUGAGGGAAAGAUGAAAAGAACUUUGGAAAGAGAGUUAAACAGUACGUGAAAUUGCUGAAAGGGAAACGCUUGAAGUCAGUCGCGUCGUCCGGGAAUCAGCCUUCCUUCUGGUUGGUGUACUUCCUGGUCGACGGGCCAGCAUCAGUUUUGACCGGUGGAAAAAGUUCGAGGGAAUGUGGCACCUCCGGGUGUGUUAUAGCCCUCGUUCGUAUACAUCGGUUGGGACUGAGGAACUCAGCACGCCGCAAGGCCGGGAUUCGUCCACGUUCGUGCU
rnacentral:rRNA from 1 species